rnacentral:tRNA from 1 species
CGUGGCGCAGUCUGGGCAGCGCACCUGAAUGGGGUUCAGGGGGUCGGAGGUUCAAAUCCUCUCG